AUGGCUGCCUACAAGCUGGUGCUGAUCCGGCAUGGCGAGAGCACCUGGAACCUGGAGAACCACUUCAGCAGCUGGUAUGAUGCCAACCAGGCCAGCCGGCCAUGAAGAAGCGAAGCGCGGCAGGCAGUCGUUGCAAAAUGCUGGCUAUGAAUCUGACAUCUGCUUCACCUCUGUGCAGAAAAGAGCAAUCCAGACCCUCUGGACAGUCCUGGAUGCCAUUGACCAGAUGUGGUUGCCAGUGGUCAGGACUUGGCGCCUCAAUGAGUGACACUAUGGGGGUCUAACAGGUCUCAAUAAAGCAGAAACUGCAGCUAAGCAUGGUGAGGCACAGGUAAAGAUCUGGAGACGGUCUUACGAUGUCCCACCACCUCCCAUGGAGCCUGAUCAUCUCUUCUACAGCAACAUCAGCAAGGAUCACAGGUACGCAGACCUUACUGAGGACCAGCUACCCUCCUGUGAGAGCCUGAAGGAUACUAUUGCCAGAGCACUGCCCUUCUGGAAUGAAGAAACUGUGCCCCAGAUCAAGGAGGGGUAAAGGGUCUUGAUUGUCGCCCAUGUCAACAGCCUUUGGGCAUCGUCAAGCAUUUGGAGAGUCUCUCAGAAGAGGCCAUCAUGGAGCUGAACCUGCCCACGGGUAUUCCCAUUGUCUAUGAAUUGGACAAGAACUUGAAGCCCAUCAAGCCCAUGCAGUUCCUGGGGGAUGAGGAGACCGUGCGUAAAGCCAUGGAAGCUGUGACUGCUCAGGGCAAGGUGAAGACAUGAAGGUGAGGAGGCAGA